rnacentral:rRNA from 1 species
AGUGAACGCUGGCGGUAGGCCUAACACAUGCAAGUCGAACGGCAGCACAGUAAGCGCUUGCUCUUACGGGUGGCGAGUGGCGGACGGGUGAGGAAUACAUCGGAAUCUACUUUUUCGUGGGGGAUAACGUAGGGAAACUUACGCUAAUACCGCAUACGACCUACGGGUGAAAGCAGUGGAUCUUCGGACCUUGCGCGAUUGAAUGAGCCGAUGUCGGAUUAGCUAGUUGGCGGGGUAAAGGCCCACCAAGGCGACGAUCCGUAGCUGGUCUGAGAGGAUGAUCAGCCACACUGAAACUGGAACACGGUCCAGACUCCUACGGGAGGCAGCAGUGGGGAAUAUUGGACAAUGGGCGCAAGCCUGAUCCAGCCAUACCGCGUGGGUGAAGAAGGCCUUCGGGUUGUAAAGCCCUUUUGUUGGGAGAGAAAAGCAGCAGGUUAAUACCCCGCUGUUCUGACGGUACCCAAAGAAUAAGCACCGGCUAACUUCGUG